rnacentral:sRNA from 1 species
CCUCCUCGAUCUGCUGCGGCGCGAUAAAGUGAAUGUGCGAAUCGAUGCCGCCGGCGGUGACGAUGUUGCCUUCGCAGCUGAUCACCUCCGUACCCGGGCCGAUGAUGAUGUCCACGCCCGGCUGCACGUCGGGGUUGCCGGCCUUGCCGAUGGCCACGAUACGCCCGCCCUUCAGGCCGAUGUCGGCCUUGACGAUGCCCCAGUGGUCGAUGAUGAGCGCGUUGGUCAUCACGCAGUCGACCGCGCCUUCUGCGUUCAUGCGCUGGCUUUGCGCCAUGCCGUCGCGGAUG